GACGAACGCUGGCGGCGUGCUUAACACAUGCAAGUCGAGCGAAUGGAUUAAGAGCUUGCUCUUAUGAAGUUAGCGGCGGACGGGUGAGUAACACGUGGGUAACCUGCCCAUAAGACUGGGAUAACUCCGGGAAACCGGGGCUAAUACCGGAUAACAUUUUGAACCGCAUGGUUCGAAAUUGAAAGGCGGCUUCGGCUGUCACUUAUGGAUGGACCCGCGUCGCAUUAGCUAGUUGGUGAGGUAACGGCUCACCAAGGCAACGAUGCGUAGCCGAGCUGAGAGGGUGAGCGGCCACACUGGGACUGAGACACGGCCCAGACUCCUGCGGGAGGCAGCAGUAGGGAAUCUUCCGCAAUGGACGAAAGUCUGACGGAGCAACGCCGCGUGAGUGAUGAAGGCUUUCGGGUCGUAAAACUCUGUUGUUAGGGAAGAACAAGUGCUAGUUGAAUAAGCUGGCACCUUGACGGUACCUAACCAGAAAGCCACGGCUAACUACGUGCCAGCAGCCGCGGUAA
rnacentral:rRNA from 1 species